rnacentral:RNase_P_RNA from 1 species
UGAGUUGGUUGGAUGAUUACUCUGUUUACUUUUGUAAGCAGGGAGGAAAGUCCGGGCACUGCAGGACAGGAUGCCCCUUAACGAGGGGAGUUCGUGAGAAUAUGGAAAGUGCAGCAGAAAGUAAACCGCCUAAAUUGGCGUUAGUCGAUUGGGUAAGGGUGAAAGGGUGGUGUAAGAGACCACCAGUUUUUAUGGUGACAUAGAAAGCUUGUAAACCCCAUCCAGUGCAAGACCGAAUAGUCUCCAAGACCUCGUCCGGGUUGUUUGAGGAGCGGGUAGGUUGCUUGAGGCCAUCGGCAACGAGGGUCCCAGAGGAAUGAUCAUCGAUCCCAUGAAAAUGGGGGAACAGGACUCGGCUUAUAGACCAACUCAAUUU